GGUUCGGUGGUGUAGUUGGUUAUCACAAUGGUUUAACAUUGGAUCCACAUUAAAAUGUAGUCCAUUGUCAACACCAUAGGUCCUCGGUUCAAGUCCGGGCCGAAUCA
rnacentral:tRNA from 1 species